CUCCUCUCUCUAUUCAUCAUCUUCCUCACCGGCCAGGCCAAGGUCCUCCAGACCCCCCUCCACCAGCCCCGCCCUGCCGGAGCUCAUCUUGCCCGAUCCCCCACUCCUCCUCCAUCCUCCAGAUCCCGUAUGAGCUCCUCUGUACCCGCCGAUGGCGCAUAUCAGCCGCAGGUCACGCAUGUCCCCGAUCCACUGCCUCCCUCGCCGUCCUGCGUCUGCUCCCGCUCGCCGGCCGUCAUCUUUCCGGCACGUCCGCGCGGCUGCUGCACCUUCAGGCAUGCCGCCGCCGACACAAGGAGGAGGCCUCCCCGUUGCUCUCCCUGGACGGCAUCGACCAUGCUGCAGGGACGACGUGUUGCUGCUGCUACUCACCGACGCUCAGCCUCCACCGCAGCAUGUCAGUGAGCACUCUGGCUGCUGCCGGUUCCCCUCCAAGCACGAGGCGUGGCGCUUGCGCGGAGACAAGGCCGAUGAUUAAGAUUCUAACAUUUGACAGAUCAACGUUGGAGCUGCAGGUUAGGUUCAGGACCUGGUACUAGCAGAUGGACGGCAGGGCAAGGAUGAGCGGCGGUGGGUUCAGGUGGAGAACGUUCUGGAUGGGCGACGUCAUGAGUUUCCGACUCGAAAAGAAUCAUGGAACGGCCGGCGCCAUCGACCGCGGCCAAAUCAGCGUGCAGGUUCUGGUUCAUGCAGUUGCAAUGCAAAACAUAAUAGCAUAAAUUCUCUUUAAUUUAUGCACACUACAAAACAUAAGUGAAGUUAAUAGUUAUUCACUGGAUUUUAGCCUGUAUUUUAACAUGACUAAUGCAAUACAUUUAGGUUUCUACUAAUUUUGUUUGAACCUUGUGAGUUCAAUCUUAUAUGGUUUGUGAAACUAAGGCUAGAUUUGCUCUGCUCUGCUUUUUUUGCUUUUUAUAAUGCCUUUUUCUUUAUCUCUGGAAUGAGUAGUUGCGAGCCAUGUGGAAUCAACCGGUGCCAUCUUCGAUUUUGUAGCAGAUUUUCCAUUCUCAAGUUUUUUUUUUUUUGAGAAAGCUAUCUACCUGUAAAUACAUGCCAUAAUGAACAUGGAAAAUAAAAUAGAAGAAGCCAUUAGUCAUGUUGUAUGUUGGUGUCACACACACUCUAAUUAUAUAUCAGUUGUAUGUCCAUAUUCUUGCUGCUUUUUCGUCACACUUAACCAUUGCAAAUCCCUGUGCCUAGAUCUGUAUGUGAACUAUUUGAUAUUUGUUUUCAUUCAUAUUCGCAUAUCUAGCUUUCACCAGAUGUUCCUUAUGUACAUACUCUCACAUAUUUCUAUUUGUUUGUAAAUGAAGUGCCAUCUACUGAAUAUUUGGUACUUGAAACAAAUUUUAAAAGCACGAGCCAUCGAGAACUCCCAAAUAUAGCUCCUCAUUGUUUAACUGAUUAUUUAAAUUUUCUCAGCCUUCAAAUGAUAUGGUUGCUUGGAUGUGUGAAAUUAGUCUCGGCAAUGGAAAUACGGUCAUGCAUUGGAUAAGGAGGUAAUGGACUAUCUGUAAGAGUAUGCACAUCAGAGCAUAUCAUGGUUGCAGCCUUGCAGGUACAUUCAGUAACUUAGACAUGGCUUCAGGUCCUGCCUUGCAGGUUCCUAUCUGAAAGACAGUGUUUCGUCAAGAAAGUUAGGCUACGCGCAAUCCCUUUGGUUCUUUAAUGCUAGCCCCUGGGAGUGGAAUCCACAGUAUAUUGAUAAUAGGCAAGCAAAGAGAGGAAGAUCCAAAACACAUGUCGCCUUAGCCUCGCAGGCUUGCAAGCUACUUUUCUGAUCCUCGCUGGGAAUUAAGUGGAUAACAAUGACAGAUCACCAGAAAAUGAAUUAGCUCUUUCAACUUUCAGGUUUGGAAUUCACCAUUGCCACUGAAGUGGCUGCUAUUGAAGUUCUACUACCUUCACAGUAAAGUAAGACCCUGCAAAAUCAUGAAAAUGACAGAAAUCUGAUGAGAAUUAUUUCAAGGUAUAUCCCCCCUUUUGCCAUAUUUUCUUGACACUGGUAAUCCAUGUUAGAGGUUAAUGGUAGUUUUCCCAAUGAAGGGGAAUUUGCAAUGAAUGCAAAUGCUGGUAAAAUUAGGCAGCCAGUAUAAUUGUAUAAUUCAUGAUCAGUUUAAAUUUUAACUUGUGUGUUGUUGCCUGUGGAGGUCUAUUACUUCUUUUGGCCUCGACCGUCAUUUUCUUGACACUGGUAAUCCAUCAUGUUAGAGGUUAAUGGUAGUUUUCCCAAUGAAGGGGAAUUUGCAAUGAAUCCAAAUGCUGGUAAAAUUAGGCAGCCAGUGCAAAUUGUAUAAUUCAUGAUCAGUUUAAAUUUUAACUUGUGUGUUGUUGCCUGUGGAGAUCUAUUACUUCUUUUGGCCUCGACCAUAUCUUCCAAACUUACAGAAUUAUAAGCUACCAUGUGCUCAAAAUUUCACAAUACUGAGUUUGGUAAGUAGUAUUUGUUCUAGAAGAAUCAUACAUAUAUCAGAUGUAAAAAUAGAAAGUAUUUCGAAACAUAAAUACAUGUACAAUCUCUUGAAGUACUCCGGUAUGUGAAUGAUAUAAUACUGUUGAAAGUGAAAUGUGUUAGAGAGGAGCGAAUAAUUAACUGUGUGGUUCCGAUGAUCUGUUAAUAGAAGAAUCCGGAUGACACCAGCCAGGGCCCUCGAAAAGCAAUCCCUGGAUAGAAGACCAUUUAGCCACACUAUCUGUUGGUC